UGUGCCCCAACUGUGCCCAGGUCAGCCUGUUGUUAUGUAUCUCUGUGCCCCAACUGUGCCCAGGUCAGCCUGUCAUUAUGUAUCUCUGUGCCCCAACUGUGCCCAGGUCAGCCUGUCAUUAUGUAUCUCUGUGCCUAUCUGUGUGACCCAUCAGCCUGUUAAGUUUCACUGUGAGCCAUCUGUGUUCAGGUCGGCCUGUCGUUAAGUUUCACUGUGAGCCAUCUGUGUUCAGGUCGACCUGUCGUUAAGUUUCACUGUGAGCCAUCUGUGUUCAGGUCGGCCUGUCGUUAAGUUUCACUGUGAGCCAUCUGUGUUCAGGUCGGCCUGUCGUUAAGUUUCACUGUGAGCCAUCUGUGUUCAGGUCGGCCUGUCGUUAAGCUUCACUGUGACCCAUCUGUGUUCAGGUCGGCCUGUCGUUAAGCUUCACUGUGACUCAUCUGUGUUCAGGUCAACCUGUCGUUAAGUUUCACUGUGAGCCAUCUGUGUUCAGGUCGGCCUGUCGUUAAGUUUCACUGUGAGCCAUCUGUGUUCAGGUCGACCUGUCGUUAAGUUUCACUGUGAGCCAUCUGUGUUCAGGUCGGCCUGUCGUUAAGUUUCACUGUGACCCAUCUGUGUUCAGGUCGGCCUGUCGUUAAGCUUCACUGUGACUCAUCUGUGUUCAGGUCGGCCUGUCGUUAAGCUUCACUGUGACCCAUCUGUGUUCAGGUCGGCCUGUCGUUAAGCUUCACUGUGACCCAUCUGUGUUCAGGUCGGCCUGUCGUUAAGCUUCACCGUGAGCCAUCUGUGUUCAGGUCGGCCUGUCGUUAAGCUUCACCGUGACCCAUCUGUGUUCAGGUCGGCCUGUCGUUAAGCUUCACCGUGUCCCAUCUGUGUUACAGUAUAUGAAUGGUAAUGGGAUUCGCUUGUGAGAUUAAUAAAAGCUCCCGAAUGCCAUCUACAUAU